AUAUUUCUGUCUGUAUCACAAAGCUCUUUGAUCUCCUGCCACUGAGUAAGCGAAACAGCUGAAAAUGAGAGCCCAGGCUGAUCCCCGUGGGUGCCAAACUUUGAUGUCCAUGGAAUCUGCAGCAUCUCCUAGUCUCCUAGCUGAAAAUAGCUACCACCACCAUUAGAGGGGGCUUGAGAGACCGCAGUGACUACCCAUGGUGUGCCGCUGUCACCCAAAAGGCUACAGACUGCAAGGUGUUCAUCAGAUAAUACUGAGAUAAGCCUUAGAUGACUGACUAAAAGGUUCCAGUCGGGUUGCUUUUUACCUGUUCUUAUUUUUGCUUACUGAUUUUGGAAUCUGACUCCAGCUUCCUUUCCCUUACUGGGCCCAUGAUCUGUGUCUGUCUGCAUGGAGGAGAGAAAAGAGGCUGAUAAGGUCAGCUCAGUUCUCUGGGAAGCCCCAGCAAACUUCCUGCAUCAUCUUGCUCCUUGUCCUCAGUCUCACAGAGCCUCCCAGAAUCCUGCUUUCCUCCAGUCCGUAGUCUGGGUAGGCCAGGGUGUGAGUCUGCAGCAGUCCCAGGUGGGAAAUCCAGAACCCAGAGCCAAAGUCCAGGGUAUGGCACUCUAAGCUCCCAAAUCUAAGCUCAUUAGAUUUCUCAUGCCCGUAGGAGAUGGGCAUGAGGCUGCCGCUGGCUCAUGUAGUUGUGUGCCUCAGCACAAGCUGGGUGCUGUGGAGAAUACAGCAGGACUUAGAGACAUGGCCCAGCCCUCUCUUGGGGAUCACAUGGAUGUGCCUUGGGAGAUUCUGGACAACCCUGCAGAAGUGCUGGAGUGCUACCCAGAGGGCUGCAGAGGGCAUGGGUCUGUGCCUCACAAACUUAAAGUCCAUAAAAUCACCUGAGGACUAUUGAGUCUGCACUUCAGAGAUGCUGUGGGUGUGAGAUUAGAUAUGCUGUGUCAUUUUUUUUCCAGGGUGGAUUGGAAGGAGCUUAUGACCUAGGACCUACUUUGAUGAUUAAAAGUAAAACAGGCAGGGGGCACCUGGAUUUGAACCAGGGACCUCUUGAUCUGCAGUCAAAUGCUCUACCCCUGAGCUAUACCCCCAGUGGUAGAAGAAUAGCGUAAUUAACCCCCUUUUCAUGUGUCCCCAGCACACCAAGAGCAAGACCCAGCUCUGCCGGUUGGGAUGUCCAGACCGGUUCUGUUUCUCUUAACUCUGGCCUCCCUCCUGUCACUAAUACUUCUUUCUCCAUCACUUCUGUGUGCUCCUGGCUGAGGACACCCUGGUGACCUGGUUGAGCUUUAUAACUGGAGAGACCCUUCAAGUCAUCCAGAUAAUCCUCUUUGACAGUAGCAAUUUUUGAGCAUCAUGCCAGGUGUUCUGGGCUGGGGCAGAACUCUAACUGGGUGACACCACCUUCCCCUGCACUGAAAGGACACCCAGAGCCUGUGUCUGGAGGCUUGUAUUUGAUGUUGAAUACUGUUCGUGAUAAUUUGUCAAGUGAAAAGCAAUUGCAUUUGUUUAAAAAAAAAAAUAAAAGAGU